GGACUACCAGGGUAUCUAAUCCCAUUCGCUACCCUAGCUUUCGUUCCUCAGCGUCAGUAAUGGCCCAGCAAGUCGCCUGCGCCACCGGUGUUCUUCCCAAUAUCUACGCAUUUCACCGCUACACUGGGAAUUCCACUUGCCUCUACCAUACUCGAGUCUGGCAGUAUUCAAUGCACUCCCGGGGUUGAGCCCCGAUCUUUAACAUCAAACUUACCAAACCGCCUACGAACUCUUUACGCCCAAUAAAUCCGGACAACGCUCGCAUCCUACGUCUUACCGCGGCUGCUGGCAC
rnacentral:rRNA from 1 species